rnacentral:rRNA from 2 species
UGAUGUGGUCAUACCAAGGCUAUUUCACCAAAUCCUAUCAAAACUUUGAAGUUUAGCACCUUGGGCCGGAAUAGUAUUAGGAUGGGUGACCUUCAGGGAAGUCCCGGUGCUGCAUCCA